CAGCAGUCUGCUGAGAUCAGGUUGUUGCAAAGGAAGGCAUUUGGCGGUCAGGAUUAUAGUACUGAUUUUUUCAGUAUAGAUCUUUGAAGGAACAGACUGAGACGUAGGUUUACCCAAAGCCAAAGGUUAGGAGACCUGGCCCCUGGGUGUGAAACUCUUGAGUAAGAUCACGUUACCAUGUUCUCUAUUCUUUGCUGUCAAUAUUUUUUUUCGGAAAUGCUAUUCGGCACUCUGAAAUCUGAAUAUCACUCUAAUCUGCACACUGAUGGAUGUGGCAAACUUACGUUUACAAAAAGACGAAAUCAUGUAACGGAGUAUCUUACUUUGUCUUCUUUUAUUUUUAAUCUUUCUUUGUAGUCUUCUUUUGA